CACGUAGGGUGCGAGCGUUGUCCGGAAUUAUUGGGCGUAAAGAGCGUGUAGGCGGCUUUGCAAGUCCGUUGUGAAAACUCGAGGCUCAACCUCGAGACGCCGGUGGAAACUGCAAAGCUAGAGUCCGGAAGAGGAGAGUGGAAUUCCUGGUGUAGCGGUGAAAUGCGCAGAUAUCAGGAAGAACACCCGUGGCGAAGGCGGCUCUCUGGGACGGUACUGACGCUGAGACGCGAAAGCGUGGGGAGCGAACAGG
rnacentral:rRNA from 1 species